UUCGUGCUGGUCGCAGGCAGAGAAACUCCACAUGACCCCUACUCUCUGGACCUGGCCACUGGGGUGAAUGUUCCCAGCUGAGUUCCAGAACCUGCAGAGAGCAGAUCGGAUCCAGCCCAAGAGAACCGGAAGGGGGUGGGCUGUCCUUUAUCCCGUGUUCCCUCAGCCUGAUGGGCGGUAGCUGGGGUGCAACCCCCCACCCCCACCCCGACCCCCAAGGUGGCCACGGAUUCAGGCAAGGCCCCGCCGCUGUGGCCGCGGCUUCUCUCGCUCCCUCCCUCACCCCAGAUGGUGUGGCUGAUGCUGUCCCUCUGUGUCACGGUAACUCUUGGUAACAAUUCAAGUGGAUCGAGUUCUUACUACGCGACGGUCACAGUUGUACCCGUUCCACGUGCGUUCGAUCUUUAUUUUGCAAACCAGCCGUCAGUUAGGUACUAUUUUCAUGUUCGUGGACGGACGAGGAACCUGAGGCACAGUGCGCCUGAGUAGCCCGCGCGAGGUCUCACCCUGCUGGGAUUAGCUCGUAACUUGGUUUUCACGCAUCCAGUUGAGAAUGUGUCUGAUGACACAGAAGAAAGAUCAUCAGCACAGAGUCACUGAACACUUCAAAAUGAUGACACGAAUGCAUUUUCAAGAAUAACCCAUCUCAAAUUCUGUGGCGGGGCGCCUGGGGCGUUCGGUGGGUUGAGCGUCAGACUCUUGACUUGGGCUCUGGUCCCGAUCUCAAGGUUGUGGGAUCCAGCCCCACGUGGGGCUCUGCUCUGAAGGUGCAAAGUCUGCUUGGAGUUCCCCCUCCC